AUGACCAACCGUAAAGUAGCUGGAGUGUUAUGCCUCCUAGUCUUUUUGGCCAUCUAUUCUUGUUCGCGCAAUGCACAAGCAAUCCAUGGAGUAGAUCACUGCACCAUCGAUAAAAAUAACGUGAUGCGAGACUGCUCGGGUAUCAUCGAAAAGAAUCUUGGUAACCAGGUUCCGCAACCGUGGACCCUAUGUUGUGGUGCAAUAAGAGGUGUGACGGACAUCCACUCGUCUGUGAUCGGUUCACCGCUCACGAACUGACUAGGAUCAGUCUACCCAAGUUCGCCUGUAUUACACAUGUAUGCGGCAAAGGGUUGCACCCACACACUCAUUGUGCAGGUU
rnacentral:rRNA from 1 species